rnacentral:rRNA from 1 species
AACUACCAAGAGUCUGGGAUAACCCCGGGAAACUGGGGAUAAUACCGGAUAGGUCAUUCGGGCUGGAAGGCUGUUUGGCUGAAACCUUUGGGGCUUUUGGAUGGGUCUGCGGCUGAUUAGGUUGUUGCCGGUGUAACGUACCGUCAAGCCUGUAAUCAGUACGGGUUGUGGGAGCAAGAGCCCGGAGAUGGAUUCUGAGACACGAAUCCAGGCCCUACGGGGCGCAGCAGGCGCGAAAACUUUACAAUGCAGGCAACUGCGAUAGGGGAACAUCGAGUGCUCAUCAUAUUGGUGGGCUGUCCAUCCGCCUAAAAAGCGGGUGUUAGCAAGGGCCGGGCAAGACCGGUGCCAGCCGCCGCGGUAAUACCGGCGGCUCGAGUGGUGGCCGAUAUUAUUGAGUCUAAAGGGUCCGUAGCCGGCUUUGCAAGUCUCUCGGGAAAUCCAACGGCUUAACCGUUGGUCGGUCGGGGGAUACUACGAUGCUUGGGACUGGGAGAGGUAGGAGGUACUCAGGGGGGAGGGGUGAAAUCCUGUAAUCCUCUGGGGACCACCGGUGGCGAAGGCGUCCUGCCAGAACAGGUCCGACGGUGAGGGACGAAAGCCAGGACCUCGAACCGGAUUAGAUACCCGGGUAGUCCUGGCCGUAAACGAUGCCCGCCAGGUGUUGCAACACUUGCAGGGGGCUGCAGUGCCGUAGGGAAGCCGUUAAGCGGGUCACUUGGGAAGUACGUCCGCAAG